rnacentral:rRNA from 1 species
AUUGAACGCUGGCGGCAGGCCUAACACAUGCAAGUCGAACGAGUGGCGGACGGGAGAGUAAUGAAUGGGAAAAUGCACGAUGGAGGGGGAUAACUAAUGGAAACGGUAGCUAAUAACGCAUAACAGAGGAUGGGCCCAGAUGGGAUUAGCUAGGAGGGGGGGUAACUGCUCACCUAGGAGACGAUCCCUAGCUGGUCUGAGAGGAUGACCAGCCACACUGGAACUGAGACACGGUCCAGACUCCUACGGGAGGCAGCAGUGGGGAAUAUUGCACAAUGGGCGCAAGCCUGAUGCAGCCAUGCCGCGUGUAUGAAGAAGGCCUUCGGGUUGUAAAGUACUUUCAGCUAGGAGGCGUUACUCGCAGAAGAAGCACCGGCUAACUCCGUGCCAGCAGCCGCGGUAAUAC